AACGAACGCUGGCGGCAUGCCUAACACAUGCAAGUCGAACGAGACCUUCGGGUCUAGUGGCGCACGGGUGCGUAACGCGUGGGAACCUGCCCUUAGGUUCGGAAUAACUCCCCGAAAGGGGUGCUAAUACCGGAUAAUGUCUUCGGACCAAAGAUUUAUCGCCUUUGGAUGGGCCCGCGUUGGAUUAGCUAGUUGGUAGGGUAAAAGCCUACCAAGGCGACGAUCCAUAGCUGGUCUGAGAGGAUGAUCAGCCACACUGGGACUGAGACACGGCCCAAACUCCUACGGGAGGCAGGCGUAGGGAAUAAUUGAAAAUGGGGCGAAGGCUUGUCCAGCCAUGCCGGGGAAGUGGAGAAGGGCUUAGGGUUGGAAAGCUCUUUUACCCGGGAUGAUAAUGACAGUACCGGGAGAAUAAGCUCCGGCUAACUCCGUG
rnacentral:rRNA from 1 species